rnacentral:rRNA from 1 species
UUCUGCAGCAGCUCAUAUAUAUAUGGGUAUACACCACGGUGGUGUAGGUGGAAGCGGCGGCGGUGGAGGUGGAAGAGGUAGCCAACACUGUUUUUUAAUUUUAUUAUUUUUUAAUUGGGGUAGCCCCCAAAAUAUUGGGACAUAUAAAAAAAAAAAAAUAAGUGCACUUGAGUAUAACAAUGGCUGGGUGAGGCCGGUAUAAAUGUCUAUUCUGCACAAGGUACAGACAAGUUUGGUGGGAUCCAUGCCUGGUUCAUUUUAAUAAAUGUGAGCUUGUCCACGUUGGCCGUGGACAGGCGGCUGCGCUUGCCUGUGAUAACCUCGUGCCGAUCGCACGUCCCUGUGACGGCGACAACACAUUCGGAUGUCUGCCCUAUCAACUUUCGAUGCAAUUUUCCGCGCCUACCAUGGUGACCACGGGUAACGGGGAAUCAGGGUUUGAUUCCAGAGAGGGUGCCUGAGAAACGGCUACCACAUGUAAUUACCCACUCCCGACGCUGGGAGGUAGUGACGACAAAUAACAAUACACUACUCUUUCGAGGCCCUGUAAUUGUAAUGAGUCCACUUUAAAUCCUUUAACUUGGAUCAAUUGGAGGGCAAGUCUGGUGCAGAGCGACUGACCCGUGCGUGCUGCAGCUGAAACUCCACUA